GACGAACGCUGGCGGCGUGCUUAACACAUGCAAGUCGAACGGAAAGGCCCUGCUUUUGUGGGGUGCUCGAGUGGCGAACGGGUGAGUAACACGCGUGUAACCUGCCCUUGACUGUGGGAGAACUUCAGGAAACUGGGGCUAAUACCGGAUAGGAUCUCCUGCUGCAUGUUGGGGGUUGGAAAGUGUCGGCGGUUGGGGCUGGAUUCGCUGCUUAUCAGCUUGUUGGUGGGGUAGGGGCUGACCAAGGCUUUGACGGGUAGCCGGCAUGAGAGGGUGGACGGCGACAUGGGGCCUGAGGUACGGAGCAGUAUCCAACGGGAGGCAGCAGUGGGGAACAUUGCACAAUGGGCGGAAGCCUGAUGCAGCGACGCCGCGUGCGUGAUGACGGCCUUCGGGUUGUAAACAGCUUUCGACUGUAACGAAGCGUGCGUGACGGUAAUGGGUAAAGAAGCACCGGCUAACUACGUG
rnacentral:rRNA from 1 species